GUCAACAGAGGAAAGAUUGAAGUGUCCUUUGGCUUUUGAGUAACUUUAAGCACAGAAUGAAGGUAGCCCAGCUCCAUGCAUCAGCAGUGCACCUUAUUGCACUGCUCUUGAUUCCGGGCCCCCUAGCUCUUUGCCUUCAGAGGAGUGUGUCUAGUUGAGUCUUCAGCUGUACAGCUCAGGUAUUGAGGGCAUAAAGUACUCAUUAAUGCUGGCCCUUGCAUCCUGAAAGUGUUUUGUUCUUUAUGGCUGUACCCCACACUCUAACCUGACUCAAAGAACCUGCAUGUGGUUACUAGUGUGGGUAGUUAGAGAUCCCUGCACCCUGGACAAAUGAACACCAGGAAACAAGACUAGCAUAGACUCCUGGAACACACAGAAAAUAAGAGUCAUCAUGGGUUCAGAGUGUACCCAUUGUGGAGUUUCCAGCAGGAUGGCCAUAUGCCUGGGACCUGGAAAUGCCUCCCCAGACACAGACGUUUCUCAGAGCUAAAAUCAUGCUUUUAAUAUGUCGCCCUCAAUAAAAAAAGAAAGAAAGAAAGAAAGAAAGAAAGAAAGAAGGAAGGAAGGAAGGAAGGAAGGAAGGAAGGAAGAAAGAAAGAAAGAAAGAAAGAAAGAAAGAAAGAAAGAAAGAAAGAAAGAAAGAAAGAAAGAAAGAAAGAAAGAAAGACUACUCUGAACUUUAGAAGAUCAGUUUAUUCUUCUAUGGCUUUUAUCCCAGCUAAAAGUUCUUAUUCAAAAGUUCUAAUAAAUGCAUUUGCCUGUAGUGCUCUUUGAUUAUAGAAGCAGAAAUGAACCCAGUGGUCAUAAAAAAAUUAGCUGUGCUAAAGAGUUUAUUAUAAAAUAGUGAAAUUUUAAGAAGAAUAUUAAAGUCGUUUUGAUUCGGAGUAAAGAUACAUGAUAGAUAGAUAGAUAGAUAGAUAGAUAGAUAGAUAGAUAGAUAGAUAGAUGAUAGAUGUGAUAGAUGUGUACCAUUAAGGACAUAUAGAAUUAGCAAUCAUCCACCAUGGAAAUCUUGUUUUAUAAUCAGGAAAUAAGUGUGAGUUGUUAUAAACCAGUCAAAAGCCUAUUUUUAGGGGCUGCUUGCCCUCUCCUCUCUCUCUUACUCUUGCUUCUCUCUCUUGCCUCUUGCCCCUUUGCUCCCCCUCAAACCCAUCCCCCCCCCCCCACACACAUGGUCAUGGCUGGACUCUACUUCUCUACGCUCUUUUUCUUUCUGUUUCUACUACUCUCUUAACUCCCCUCCCCAUGCCCUAAAUGAACUCUAUUCUAUUAAAAAAAAAAGCCUAUUUUUUUUAUCUGCAUACAGUUUCCAGCUUAAUCCCCUGCCAACCACAAUGCUUGGGAGUUCACAUUGGACACUGUGAGACUUAGGCCAUUUCUGAAACUACCAACCUAUGCCCUUCUGGGGGUUGACCCAAAAAUUCCCAUCUUUGUGAUAUUAGCAAAGUUAAGGCCUGGUUCUAUGAGUUUUGCAUUAUUUAUAUUUCCAUAUUUUGACCAAUAACUUAAAGAUCAUUGUUCUUUCCAGCCCAAAAUAACUUGAAGUUCCUAUAGAUUUAUU
rnacentral:lncRNA from 1 species